rnacentral:tRNA from 1 species
GGUGGUAUAGUUUAAAGUAAAACGCUCAUUUCAUAAGUGAGAGAUAAGAGUUCAAAUACUUUACCGCCA